CGGACCUACGGGUACACAGUUGAUUUUCAGUGCUGCUAAGGAACUGGAACACUUGUCAAAGUUGAAGGAUCAUAUGGUGAGAGAAGAAAGUAGAAGUCUCACUCCAAAGCAGUGUGCUGUUUUGGAUCUUGCACUGGAUACUAUCAAACAAUAUUUCCAUGCUGGUGGGAAUGGUCUGAAGAAAACCUUCUUGGAGAAAAGUCCAGACCUGCAGUCCCUUUGG